CUCUACCAAAGUUCUAUGUAAAUUCCAGUUAUUUCCAGCCUCCAUUGAGGCAGGUGCUACUGUUCCCCUGUAGAGGAUUUUUAGAGGGCUAUUUUAUGUUGAUUGCUCACUACCCUUUGCCACUGAUUCCAGUGCUAUUGUUCCCUCUUCAGUUCUCAGGUACUCCCAGAAGUUGUUACCAGACUUUUCUCUCCCUUGUGACUCUUCUCAGACUGAACUCCAUCUUCUUUAUCUUUUGGUGCCCCUGCAAGACCUAGCACAGUACCUGAAGAAUAAUAAUCACAAUGGACUCUCAUUUCUCAAGGAUUCUUUACAGUUUACAAAGAUUGGCAAAGCAGUUUAUUUACAAAAGUCCUAUGAGGUAGGUAUGGCUGUGGUCAAGAAGACCUGGGUUCAAAUCCUCCUUGUGACAAUUAUGUGACCAUCAAGUAAGUUACUUUAUUUUUCUGACCCUGAGUUCCCUUAUCAAUAUAUGGGGAUAAACAGUAGCAAGGUGGCACAGUGGAGUGAGGAAGACCUGAGUUCAUGGAAGAACCUCACUGAACUGAUGCAGAAUGAAAUAAGUAGAACCAGGAGAACACUGUAUACAGAAAGUGAAACAUUGUGUAACAAUCCAAAGUAAUGGACUUUGCUACUAGUAGCAAUGCAAAAAGCCAGGACACUCCUGAAGGAUUUGAGAAAGAAUGCUAACUACAUUAAGAACUGUGGGAGAAGAAAUGCUGAAGAAAAAUAUAUGACUUAUCACUUGUAUAUAUGGGUAUGUGAUUUGGGGUUUUGGCUUUAAAAGAUCACUCUAUUGUUAGAACCCAAGGGGGGAAGAGGAACCCCAAAGACUCAGACCAGGGGCCGAAGGUCCCUUAGGUAGGAGCGAGAAAUUGAAGUCCAGAGAGAUAAGAAUCUUUUGGGAUCAGAAGGACUGCAGAGCUGGUAGCUACUGCCAGCAGAGUUUAUUGAAUAGGGGAAGGAUUAAUAAAGGAAAAGACCACAGGAAUGAAGGAGCA
rnacentral:lncRNA from 1 species